rnacentral:misc_RNA from 1 species
AGACUCCUCAAAUUGUUCAUCUCUCGGAACGUAUGUUGGAUUUGGCUUCUCCACACGACUCUCCGCACUUAUAUCUGUGUCUGUAGGAACACGGCCAGAACGACAACGUCUAGGGUAAGCAACAUUGCCUUCUCCUCCAAGUUUAGGACGAGCAAAAUCAAUGCCUCUAUCUGGAUUUCCAAGAUCAUUAUAGAUGUCAUAAUCAUAUAUUCUAUCAGAUAAUUUUCUGACGCCUUUUCCAUCGCCUCUCAAUUCUCUUAGCUCCCUCUCUCUUAAUGAUUUCAGUCCUGCUGGUGUUUCAUCCGGUAAAUAUGGCUGAUUAGAGAAAAAUAUUCUUUUUCCAGGAUGAUCUUUUUUGGGUUGAACCCAUGAAUUGCAGGGGAAAUGAACCGGACCACAUGCAAACCCCUCAAUUGUAAUACUCUCCAGAAAGAACUCCUGCUGGUGCUUGUUCGUCACAGUGAUCGCGCCUGGAUUCCCGAAAUUCGAGUCCACAAUGAAUUCUGCUGUGUAAUUUACUCGCUCUGUUUUCAAGUUCGAUUUCUUAGACCAGUCUUUUAACACUGCUUGGUUGCUUUUCUUCGGUCCUUUUGUAUCUGGAUCGAUGUCGGUGCUGAUGAGUUCUAGCGCGACAUUCCUCCCGAUUUUGUCGGUGAAAGCAUCAAGAUGCUUCACAAUUGUCUCCUUUAGAUCUUCCUUGUUCUUGUUCCUUACUGUAACUACAGCUCUCACUUUGAAUUUCACUGCUUUUUCAGGCACAACUUUGACCAAAUUUUCACUUAUAGCUGCCAUGGUACUCUGUCUGUACGCUUUUCUUCUACUUAAAUUCCUCCUUCCUUGAAACUGCUGGUUAAACCAAAGAUGAUUUUCUUUGUGAUAAUUAUUGGGAUUCAAAAGUGCCAUUGAUGAUGAUUUCUCCAGCAGGGAAAUACCCAUAAUUUCUUUAGCAAGUG